UGGAUGCUCGGCCCUCUUUUAAAGCAAGAUCAGCCGACAACUCAUCCGACCCAGCCGUUAGUCACACAGAUGCAGCCUCCCAUACUGCCUCCUCCUCCCCACCCAAACUUCCAGUCAAUGCGAUUGCCAGUGACAAUGACAUCAACGGUCCUGGGUGCAGCAUUUCAGCAUCUUUACAAUGAAAGUCUGAGACCGACAUCAGCACUCACACACCUUCAACAUGAAGACAGUGACGAGAUGCUUUCAGUUUCUCAGGGUGCUAAUGUCCAUGUUGUGUCUCCAGUGAGUCAAAAGUCUUCAUCAAAGCUUCCGGUCGGUGGACUUCUCGGCUUCCUAAAGCUGGAUCUAUAUACGCCAACUACAACACAGAGUCACACAGCUGCUCCACAAGCUCCUCAGUCUCAACCACCAAUUACUCUGUUCCACUCUUCAUUCAGGAAUACUUUAUCCGCCGUCUCACAGACGCCUCAUACUCAUCCUCAACAGUCCUUUACUUUAAGUUUUUUACCCAAGUUCCAUCUUGAGCUUUCAACACUCCAGCUUCACCUGCCUUCCAUGAAACCAUCCCAACCUUCAACAGCCAUUUCUCAAACCCAGUCUGAAUCAUCUCCGACACAGCGGCCACCACUUUCAUUCUCAACUUUCCAACCUCCUCCAACACUGGAACCUGAGGUCAUCCAGCAAAAUGCCACUCCACAAGGUCCCCCGGUUCAGUCAGUGAAAUCAGCCAACGACACAGAGCUCACAAACUGGCUGAAGAGGAACACUUCCCAGUCACCUAUGACCAGCAAUGAUCCCAGAGUGACACAGCAGUCACCGUCAUGGCUGCCUAUGCUGGAGAAACAUGACAUCCCCAUCGUCGUGGGAGUAGGUGUAUCUCUGGCCUUUAUCUUCAUUACAGUCACCUUCUACUCAGUCGUCCAGAAGAAUGAGCCAGCACCGACAAGCCGGGCAGGUCAGUCAUCCUCCAUCAGCAGUAAGUCUCCAUGGUUUAACAUGAUAAAUGAUGGACAAAUGUAUUUAACUCUGCUUCACAUCUCCUCUCCUCAUUAAGAGCUAAAUAUACCAAUCUAAAUCAAACUAUUCCAUUAAAGCUCAGAGAAAACUAGGUGUCCCCAUUCGCCAUACUGAACGUCGAGCUGCAGGACGUACAUAUGAAAACAGGUACACACGGUACUCCACAGACCAAAACACGGCAGCUUAGAGACCAGGCUGAACUUUUUGCACUUUUAACCUGUGCUGUGUGUCUCAUGCAGAGCGUUUGAAGACGAUGACAGUGUUGCAGUAAUUGAGCAGAGCCCUAACACCUCGGACACCCGGGCCCGGCCUCCAGGACCCAGCCUGGUCACAGUGCAGAUGGAGCCCACAUUUGAGGAGCUUCAAGAGGUCAACACAACUCCCACUGUGGACAACCAUUCAGUCACUGUGGAGACGUAUCCUGAGCCCAUUGUUGAUACAAAGGUUUGGUAACACAGAAAUACAUGAGCAUACCUGUCUGGUGUAGGAAUGCGACGCAGAAUCAUCACCAUGUCCCUGAAGGUAUCCUCAUCAUUUUAGAUCUCUCUCUCUCUCUGUUUCAGAUCGACCCCUGUCUAGAGGAUGAGAAGGGCUGCAGUUUGUCCCAGCCCAGCAUCCAGCUUCAGUGCGCUGAAGACUGGACCAGCAACAGGGGAGACAACCACAGCCCGUGCCAUGAUGCCCUUCCUCCUCCGUCAUCCUUACCCUCUUGUUCCCCUUCCCCAUCUCCCCCAUCCAGGCGUGAGGAGGGCCUGCACUCCUCUUUAACCCUACACAGUGCUGAACCAUGUGUAGCACCCAUUCACCACAGCCUCAGCAUCUCACACGGCAGCCCUCCGCUGCUUCUCUCCCAUCACGUCUCACUGGGGCUGACCACGGUUGCUGUCGAUGUCCACUUCUACCCAACAGCCACUGCUUCCAUGGCAGCCAGUACCAGCACUCACAUCCAUUCAGUCUCAAACGCCACCUCAGUGACUGCACCUCUGUUCAGUCCUCCGUUAGUUAACAGCCAAGACAGCAACCAGUCAACAGCAAG
ensembl:lncRNA uncharacterized LOC114441633